rnacentral:lncRNA from 1 species
CCUCCUCCCUGCGUCUCUCCUCCCUCCUCUCCUGGUUCCCGAACGGAUAUGAGCCACCAAUCCCAGCAACAAACAACCCUUCAAAUGAAAUAACUAGGCGGCCCUCUAACGGGCGCCGGGCAAGCCGGCCCCCUCCCCGCGCCACAUCUGUCCCGCACUCGGGCGCAGCAGCUGAUUCAUCUGCAGCCAGGCCCGGCGAAGGAACUCGGCUCCAGGCAGUUGCAAGCUAGCUCCAUGCUGGUGGUUUCUCCCCAGGACCCUGUCCUCCCUCCUCUGGCUGCCUCCCGUGCUUUUAGAUGUGUGUUCUCUUCUGGGCCGAGCAGUCGGCAAACCACAGAAGGAAAAAAAAAAAAAUCGUAAGGUUGCUGCCUUCUUAUAG